rnacentral:lncRNA from 1 species
UGCACAUUAGAUUCUACUCUGGGGCACAUUUUUAUUAGUUUAUGCCACUGGGUCAAAAGAUUUUUUGAAAAAUUUCUUGUUCUCUCAUUUCUAGAGGGCUUGGAAAAACUUGAGUAUGCAUAUAUACAAAAAAAAGAAGAAGCCCAAAGAGAGGAUGAAGAUUCUGGAGAGAAGCAAGCUCUGAGGAGCAGCUAGAACUUCCAGUAAUAUGUUGAAUAGACUGGCAAGAUCAGAGGUCUAGCCUUGCUGUAAGCAUUCAGUCUUUCACCACUAGGUCACAGGCAGUGAGCUGGCUUCGGCCCAUGGCUGGGAGUCUACCCACACCUGGACGAGGCUGUCACCACCUCGAAGGAAGG